ACAGCCUUUAAAUAGGCCUAUGUCAGCAGAAGUUAGGAUGAAAUGCCUUGAAUUCAGUUUAACCUUGAAUCUAAAUUAACGGUAAAAAAAAAUAUUCUAUUGAAAGUGAAUAGCAUAAUAUAGGCUAUAUUUUUCUAUAAAAAUAAAGGUAAACACGUAUGCACAAAAGAAAGCAUUAAAGAGGUGAGAAAUGACAGUUAGGCUAAUGGUUCAACAUAUUUAGUAGCGCAAGUUGUAACUUCAGAAUUUGUCCCUUCAAAACUAGGUUAACUUAUGUAAAGCUGGUGAACCCGGCCACUGGUUGCAACUGCCAGUUGUGGCUGAUCAGCUUUAAAGUUCUCGGUCUGCAAACAUGACCUUUGAACUAAUUUUGCCCAAUUAUAUAAACUAGCAGUGAGAUGCCUCACUGUAUCCUGAGCUCUCGCCUGAUUCAGUCUGAUCAUGCACACAGUCCCUCUUCUCUGCCUGACUGCUCUAAGCACCUCUGCACUGAUAACUUGUCUUCCUAUACAAAAGGAAACAAUCCAAACAGAUUUAACAAGAGAAAAUCUGAGAAAUAUGGAGACCAUGAUCAGUACAUAUGGAUAUUUCCUGAUGAUGAAAUUUAGUAAAAGAAUGAGGAAAGCCAUUUAUCAAGAGUCCAAAGGAGCUGCUUUACUGAAGAAAAGAAGCAAGGACUGCUUCUUACUACUUCAUAUUAAAACAAAUAAUAUAAUGUGCUUGGAUGCAACUAAAAACACAUAUAUUUCAGUUGAUGGCAUUAAUAAGGACUGCUUUAAACCAGUUCACGGAAAGAAUUCCCAUCAUGCUUUGUGUCCAUGGAGGAGUGAUGCAAUGAUCAAGCUAGUUGGUGGUAAAAGCCACACUGAGGCUUAUAAUGCAGAAUUACAUCAUUCUCAGCAGUCAAACAACCAUAAAACACAUCGCAGACAGAGAAGAAGCCAGUAUAUUGACCCAUCUGAUCCCUUGGGAUCUGAGAAUCCGAGGUCAAGGACUGCUAAUUAUCGAAGUCCAAAUCGAGAGCAUGAGCACGAGCGCAGCAGUAAUGUUUCUAAAGAAACCAUCACUUCCUAUGAUGACCCUUUACACGUACUGCUCUCCAAGAGCCCUGUCAGUCCAAACUUACAAAAACAGAAGAAACACAAGCAAGUUGCACCAUCUGAUCCAUUCUGAACAAAUUACUGACCUCAUUAACGAUUUUAUAAGCCUUGCACCAAAGAAAACCAUCUGUGAACCACCCAGGAGGAUUUUUUUUGUUUUUUUUUUGAUGAUGAUUCCUAAAACCAAUACACUGACCUAAAGAACUUAUAAUGUAACGUUAAGAAACCCAAUGGUUUCGAGGAACCAUAUCACCAAGAACCGCAUAUGAUGCAAUCUAGGGCCUCAGGACCUCAGCUGGUGUUGAGGCUAGUUUAGGUCACUGUUUGUCAGUCCUUUCACCUUUUCAAGUCAGUUAAAAUUUAAACUACCUUGCAAUGCUGCGGCAAUGACAUUGUCUUCAUAAGAACUGUUUUUUAAGAAUCUUAUCA